UACGAAGGGGGCUAGCGUUGCUCGGAAUCACUGGGCGUAAAGGGUGCGUAGGCGGGUCUUUAAGUCAGGGGUGAAAUCCUGGAGCUCAACUCCAGAACUGCCUUUGAUACUGAAGAUCUUGAGUUCGGGAGAGGUGAGUGGAACUGCGAGUGUAGAGGUGAAAUUCGUAGAUAUUCGCAAGAACACCAGUGGCGAAGGCGGCUCACUGGCCCGAUACUGACGCUGAGGCGCGAAAGCGUGGGGAGCGAACGAGG
rnacentral:rRNA from 1 species